AUAUCAGGAAUGUUUGUAUAUAAAUGGGGAAACAAUGGUGGGUUUUUGGUUGCAGGUUCUAUGUCGAUGAAAUACCCAUCAGGGUUUACAAGAAUACUGAGGCAAGAGGGAUUCUCUACUUCAAAUUCCAAUCCAUGGGAGUGUACUCUACUUUGUGGGAAGCAGAUAACUGGGCCACAAGGGGUGGGCUUGAGAAAAUCGAUUGGAGCAAACACCUUUCUAUGCUUACUAUAAGGACUUCGACAUUGCGGGUUGCCCUGUCCCAGGCCCUACAACUUGUGCCUCCAACCCCAUGAACUGGUGGGAGGGCCCUGCUUACCAGCAACUUGAUGCCAUUCAAGCUAGAAGAUACAGGUGGGUCCGCCUGAAUCACAUGACCUACGACUAUUGUGCCGACAGAUCCCGCUAUCCCGUCGUCCCACCGGAAUGUGUUGCAGGCAUC